UCUCCCCAACUCUGAAUUCGGAGUCUCCGUCCUUCACAACUCUACCGAAACGACCAAAUCCUGGCACACAUAUCAUCACAACCCACCACCUACAGAAAACGUCUAUCAUCAUCUACUCUCAGCGGUUAUCAACUUAACCAGUAUCUUCCUCGCUCACCAGCGUAUCCACCUAAACCUAUAGAACAACUCCCCCGUCAGCGGAGUUCUCAACAGCCAAAACCAUCAUACGCUAAUAACCAUCACUCCACUGUCACCCAAGACGCUACUACUUCAAUUUGAUAACAUCCCCGGGUGAGAAAACACCGAAAGCAUCAUAUAGUACCAUUGUCAUCCGCAGUCGCUACUACUCUCAACUAUCAAUUACCGAAGUCAACAGCAGCAACAUCAACACCAACUCCGGAGAUUCAAUAAGCAAAAACAAACAGCGUUUAGUCCUGAUUGGGAAGACAAGAUCCGGGGCAGUGAUGUUCACAAUAAGUUUACAAGAAAGCUCAAUCGUCAACAAUUAUGAUAAAGCUUCAGUUCAUGGUACCGGUGGAACCUCUGUUAAUGGCGAACGAGUUGUGUACUUAAAAGGAAGAAUUUUCCAACAUCUUUAUCAACACGAUAGUUGCGAACCCAAUUGUCGGAAUGGAUUCUCCAUGGAUAAACCUGCGAAAAAGAAGAUUCGAAGAGUCGUGGCUGGCUAAACCCCGAUUACAACUAGCAACACUCAAAGUCUGCACCUACCAUCAAACCAUCUCUUAUGAAAGAUGAUGGGCGAAGCUGCAUCGGGCCAGCAACAACAGUUCAAAUCGGAGCAUCAACCCCGGAUGAACAAUCAAAGCUCAGUCUACAUCGGAUCAGAGCAACACCGGAGCAAGAAUCAGCCAGCUCGAUGUUGAUUCAUACGCUGACAACCAUCACCCACGGAACUACCACUACCCACAUCCAGCAAUUGUCGACCUACAACCAGCGGCUUUCAUAUUUCUUACCGCUACCAUCACCACUUCCGGCGGCUAUCGUCUAUUCUCAACGGUUAUCACCUCAUGCCAUCAGCAUACCCAUUUACCUUUCUCACUCAGUAGACAACAAUGAUUUUUAAGAUGAAACAGAGGCUCCGCUUCACCCUCUCCCGCGUCUUCAUCACCACUCUCAACUAUGAGAGCGUGAAGAAUAAUUGAAGGAAAUCGUCAUCAGCAUCGGAUCAAAAGUUAUUCUCAAUUCAGCUGAGAAGACCCGGAGCCGAGAGGAGUUGACGCUGGCACAUCAAGCGAUUGUCGAAACUCCAAAGAGAUGACCCUCUAGCUUACCGUUCUCUGACGCUGCCGUGGAUGCAUAUUUUGUGAGAAGAGAAGAUGCAAAUCCAAUGAUUAAUUACGACCAUGGGCUCUACUUUUGGUUCUCAAGAACAACCAGUGGUUGUUACCUUUCACGCCUCUCCACCCCGCGUCUUCACCAUUCUCAACUCCUCCAUAUCCACCUCCACUGGCGGGGCUCCCAUCGAUACCUAUAUUCAAUGUUUUCUUAACCAGCGCCUCCACCUCCCUAAACCCCAGUAUCUGUUCACUCUUCCCAGCGCCUUUGGAACGUAUAAAAACAACGUCACCUUUGUGAUCGACGCUUGUAUCCUCAACACCCAUACAACCCAUGACGGUAAUAAUUUACUCAUUCCUCCACUUUCCAGACUUACAACUAUUGGUCUUAUUUUUUAAGCAUAUCCACAUGUUUCUUUUAAACGUAUACGACUUGUGCAACAUCAAAUGUUCGUCCAUAUGCGCUGAUAUGAUGCACCCAUACAACGAAUUAGCUAGUUAAGCACUAAAAAAUAUAUACGAUGCUUGUAUGCUUGCAUACGAUGAUGCAUUACUUCUAAGGCAUGUCCACAUAUCUCUUUAUUCACGAAGUAAUUAACUCAGUAAACAUCAUACCA